rnacentral:rRNA from 1 species
AUUGAACGCUGGCGGCAUGCUUUACACAUGCAAGUCGAACGGUAGGGUCGCAAUACCUGAGAGUGGCGAACGGGUGAGUAAUGCAUCGGAACAUGCCUAUUGGUGGGGGAUAGCCCGGCGAAAGCCGGAUUAAUACCGCAUACGAUCUACGGAUGAAAGCUGGGGACCGCAAGGCCUAGCGCACAUAGAGUGGCGGAUGUCUGAUUAGCUGGUUGGUGGGGUAAAGGCGCAACAAGGAAACGAUCUGUAGCUGGUUUGAGAGAACGACCAGCCCCACUGGGACUGAGACACGGCCCAGAAUCCUACGGCAGGCAGCAGUGGGGAAUUUUGGACAAUGGGCGAAGUCCUGAUCCAGCAAUGCCGAGGGCAGGAUGAAGGCCUUCGGGUUGUAAACUGCUUUUGUACGGAACGAGACGCCUCUGGUUAAUACCCGGGGCUAAUGACGGUACCGUAAGAAUAAGCACCGGCUAACUACGUGCCAGCCGCCGCCGUAA